ACCAAGAAAGCCCAGGAGAGGUGUGGUGAGAUCAAAUGAGGCACACUUUGUUGCUCCUCCUGGUGGACUUCUGGUGCUGACAUCCUGGCUGUGACCACGCCUGCCUGAGUAAUCUGUAUUCUCUACAUAGCAC
rnacentral:lncRNA from 1 species